GAUGAACGCUGGCGGCGUGCCUAAUACAUGCAAGUCGAGCGAACAGACGAGGAGCUUGCUCCUCUGACGUUAGCGGCGGACGGGUGAGUAACACGUGGAUAACCUACCUAUAAGACUGGGAUAACUUCGGGAAACCGGAGCUAAUACCGGAUAAUAUAUUGAACCGCAUGGUUCAAUAGUGAAAGACGGUUUUGCUGUCACUUAUAGAUUGAUCCGCGCCGCAUUAGCUAGUUGGUAAGGUAACGGCUUACCAAGGCAACGAUGCGUAGCCGACCUGAGAGGGUGAUCGGCCACACUGGAACUGAGACACGGUCCAGACUCCUACGGGAGGCAGCAGUAGGGAAUCCUCCGCAAUGGGCGAAAGCCUGACGGAGCAACGCCGCGUGAGUGAUGAAGGCCUUCGGAUCGUAAAACUCUGUUAUUAGGGAAGAACAAAUGUGUAAGUAACUAUGCACGUCUUGACGGUACCUAAUCAGAAAGCCACGGCUAACUACGUG
rnacentral:rRNA from 1 species